AAUUCUAACCCUAAUUAUAUAUAUAUAUAUAUAUAUAUAAUAUUAUAUUUUAAUUAUAAUUUUUAUAAUAGUAACUUUUUAACCCUUCUUAAAAAAAAUAAAAAAAUCUAACCCUAAUUCUAAAUCUGAAAAAAAAAAACCUUCUCUCUUUCUUCUCCACGCACGCCGCGCCUGCAGGCUGCAUCUCUUCUCCGCCGCGGCGCUGCCCGUCGCCACUCGCCAGCAGCUAACAUCGCUCGUCCCCAGUCGCCAGCACCCCGCCGCGGCGUCGCCUCUCCUCCGUCUGCCGUCUGCUAUGGCUCGUCGCCCGCCGCCAGUCGCCAGUACCCCGCCGCGGCGUCGCCCUCUCCUCCAUCUGCCGUCUGCUAGCAUGAAGAUGGAUGCUCCAAGUAGAGCAUACACCUCAAGAAGAUUAGAUUAGAGAGAAAGAGCAUGAAGUGGAGUGAUCAAUAUGAUGAUAAAGGUGAUGAUACAAGAGAGAGCGGUGAUGAGGAAAAAGAUAAGUGAUAAUGGUGAUGAGGAGAAAGAUAAGGAGGAAGGUAAUAAUGGUGAAGAUGAUAAAGAUGGAGAUAAGGAAGAAGAUAGAGGCGUGGAAUCAUCAAAUGAGCUUUUUUGAUCUAUUUUUUAUUAGGUAGAUGUAUUGAAAUAUAUCAUUAUAUUUUUUAGAUUAUUAUUUCACAUA